AGACAGACAGCCCAACGCCCUCCCUUCUUCCUCUAUUUCACCAACUGAACUCCGUUUGUAGAGCUUCGGAUCAGCACCAAUUCGCGUUCCUCGUCUAGCCCAUUGUCUGCAUUAUAUCUCUCUCUGCGCGCCUGCUGCUUCUACCUUGUUCCGAAGCAGGGUUUAGAAGCUUGUUGUGCGUCGUCUUUUCAGAUUGCUCUGUUUUUCUUCCGACGGCGUUGGGGUCGAAUUUCGCAAUUCGUUGGCCUUGCGCGGUUUUUUGUUUUGGGUUAUCUAGAUUUGUGGUUUUUCUUUUUCUAUUUUGGAUUGCGCUUUUGGGUAGAGUGGACGAGUUUUGAGGUCGCAGCGGUGCUGUUGGUGGUGAGAAGAUCCUUCUCGAGACGUUGGUGCUGGUUAUUUGUGGGCGAGUGUUGCGGGUUUGGAUUGGAUAUUUUAGGUGGGGUUGUUGUAGUGUGGGUUCUGUAGUUUCAGUCUCUGGAGAUCCAGGCCGAGCUGUUUGAUCGCACGGGGCUAAUUACCCAAGGUCGACAAGAUGGAGUUGAGUGAGCAAUUUACUCCUCGAAAAUUGACACCAGUAGUACCAACUCACAACAUGACUGUGUCAUCAUAUCAGCUCCUCAUGAUUAUCAGAGCAAAUGUCCAAAACAUGACCAGGGAGACAUGGUCGGAGUUGGAUACAUACAUGAGGGGUGAACUAGGAUACGACAAAUGCAAAGUUGACCACAGAAUCAAC